rnacentral:tRNA from 1 species
CCGUAGUUCAACUGGAAAGAGCGUCUGACUACGAAUCAGAAGGUUGGGGGUUCGAGUCCCUCCGGGC